UUAUUUUAUUUAUGCUCAAUAAAGAGACUGUUAUACAUUCUUAAAACUGAAGAGUUAAAAAGGUGUAAAAAGUGUAGUGUGUGCACAGUGUAGAAAGGAAAAUGAUUUGGUCGGACCUCUAAAAAGAGCAUCCUUACAUUUCAUUAAUGAUCCUUCCGCAGGUUCACCUACGGAAA
rnacentral:misc_RNA from 1 species